GUGGCGCCUGAGGUCACCAUGGCUACCAAGCACAAAACCGCAGAGCCAGUGGUACCUUUGUUUGUGGAUCGAUACUUCAUUCACUGGUACAAAGCAGAUGUCAAAGGAAAAUCUUGUGAGGACCACUGUAUACCACAGCACUCUAACCGAAUAUGUGUCACCACAUUGACAGAAUCUCAUCCAGUUCUUCAAAGUGGAAAAACAAUUAAAAGCAUUCCCUGUCAGAUCAGUACCAACUGUAGCAGACUUCAGAACAAGGUCUCUGGGAAAUGUAAGCGGGGGGCACAGUUUCUAACAGAACUUGCACCGCUCUGUAAGAUGUACUGUUCAGAUGGCGAAGCAUAUACUGUAUCUAGUUGUGUUAGAGGAUGUUCGAUGGAAGUGAUUGAACACAUUCUCCAUAAACCAUCUAUUCUUCAAGAAAAGCCAUCCACUGAAGGCUACAUUGCAGUUGAGUUACCCAAAUUUGAAGAAAGUAAAAACAUAACAGAAGGGUUACUGACACAAAAACGGUAUGAAGAAGUCAUGGUGAAAAUGCAUUAAUGCCAUGCAUCAACGUCACAAGGACUGACAUGGAGCAAAAAGCAAAGCGGAAUUCUUGUUACCUGGCCUAAACCAUCAGUGCACGAAAGGAGAACCAGUAUAUGUGAAGCAUACUUCACAGCCAUGUGCCGGGGAGGCCUAAUGUUUCACUUAACUUCGUUUACCCUCUCUGGCUUUCGUAAUGAGCCUUGGUUCCCAUUUGUCUUCAGCCUGCCAGACCUGGCCUGCCCUUGUACUCACCCUGUUCUCUUGCAUCUCUCUAACAACUGGCAUGCAAGGAAUGUUUUUUUCUGAUUAAAAACAAGCAAACAAAGCUCUUUGAAGAAAAUAUAGAAAAUAUAGGAAAGUUUUAAGUAGCCAAGUAAAAAUAAUUUACUCAUUAUCCCAUAAUCCAGCAGUAAAUACAUUUGAUCCUUGAACAACAUGGGUUU